rnacentral:sRNA from 1 species
AUCCUCCUGCUGUCGGGGGUGGAAUCGAGCUUAGUCUUGUUCAUUUUUUUAGACAACAGCCCCGAGGCGAAACGGUGCGAAGCGGCCGCGAGCGUCUGGGGCGGGCGGCGGAGCGCCCCGCCAAAGAUGCCCCGAAAGGCCGAAAAACCGGCAUGCAAGCCUCAUUCCUGGGCGA